GAUGAACGCUGGCGGCGUGCUUAACACAUGCAAGUCGAACGGGAAUUAUUUUAUUGAAACUUCGGUCGAUUUAAUUUAAUUCUAGUGGCGGACGGGUGAGUAACGCGUGGGUAACCUGCCUUAUACAGGGGGAUAACAGUCAGAAAUGACUGCUAAUACCGCAUAAGGGCAUAGGACCGCAUGGGCCGGUGUGAAAAACUCCGGUGGUAUAAGAUGGACCCGCGUUGGAUUAGCUGGUGGGUGGGGUAACGGCCCACCAAGGCGACGAUCCAUAGCCGGCCUGAGAGGGUGAACGGCCACAUUGGGACUGAGACACGGCCCAGACUCCUACGGGAGGCAGCAGUGGGGAAUAUUGCACAAUGGGGGAAACCCUGAUGCAGCGACGCCGCGUGAAGGAAGAAGUAUCUCGGUAUGUAAACUUCUAUCAGCAGGGAAGAUAGUGACGGUACCUGACUAAGAAGCCCCGGCUAACUACGUGCCAGCCGCCGCCGUAA
rnacentral:rRNA from 1 species